AUGAACGCUAGCGGCAGGCCUAAUACAUGCAAGUCGAACGGUAGAGUCGGGUAGCAAUACUUGAUUGAGAGUGACGUAAGGGUGCGUAACACGUAUGCAAUCUACCCUCAACAGGAGUAUAGCGUCGGGGAAACUCGGAUUAACACUCCAUAACAUUACGAUGUGGCAUCACAUUGUGAAUUAAAACUCCGGUGGUUGAGGAUGAGCAUGCGUCUGAUUAGUUAGUUGGAGGUGUAACCGGACCCCCAAGACGAUGAUCAGUAGGGGAACUGAGAGGUUGAUCCCCCACACUGGCACUGAGAUACGGGCCAGACUCCUACGGGAGGCAGCAGUAGGGAAUAUUGGUCAAUGGGUGAGAGCCUGAACCAGCCAUGCCGCGUGCAGGAAGACGGCCUUCUGGGUUGUAAACUGCUUUUAUCUGGGGAUAAAAAGCCCAUGCGUGGGACAUUGAAGGUACCAGAUGAAUAAGCACCGGCUAACUACGUG
rnacentral:rRNA from 1 species